AGGCUGUUGGCGAAAUGGAAACGCAGCGGAAUUUGACUCCGCCUAUUUAGGGUUCGAAUCCCUAGCAGCCCGUA
rnacentral:tRNA from 1 species